CGGAUUCACUGGGCGUAAAGAGUGCGUAGGUGGCUAGGUAAGUUUGAUGUGAAAGCUCCGAGCUCAACUCGGAAAUUGCAUUGAAAACUGCUUGGCUAGAGGGUCGGAAGGGAGACUGGAAUUUUCGGUGUAGCAGUGAAAUGCGUAGAUAUCGAGAGGAACACCAGUGGCGAAGGCGAGUCUCUGGACGAAUCCUGACACUGAGGCACGAAAGCUAGGGUAGCAAACAGGAUUAGAUACCCUGGUAGUCCUAGCCGUAAACGGUGCACACUUGCUAUGAGCGGAUUCGACCCCGUUCGUGGCGUAGCUAACGCGUUAAGUGUGCCGCCUGGGGAGUACGGUCGCAAGAUUAAAACUCAAAGAAAUUGACGGGGGCCUGCACAAGCGGUGGAGUAUGUGGCUUAAUUCGAUGCAACGCGAAGAACCUUACCUGGCCUUGACAUGUUUGUGGUAAAACCCUGAAAGGGGAAUGACCUCGCAAGAGGAGCUUACACAGGUGCUGCAUGGCUGUCGUCAGCUCGUGUCGUGAGAUGUUGGGUUAAGUCCCGCAACGAGCGCAACCCUUGUGUCCUGUUGCCACCCGAACUUCGGUUCGGAGCACUCUGGACAGACUGCCUCGCUUAAACGAGGAGGAAGGUGGGGAUGACGUCAAGUCAGUAUGGCCCUUACGGCCAGGGCUGCACACGUACUACAAUGCCUAAUACAAUGGGACGCAAUACCGUGAGGUGGAGCAAAUCCUUAAAAUUGGGCCCAGUUCGGAUUGUAGUCUGCAACUCGACUACAUGAAGCCGGAAUCGCUAGUAAUGGGGCAUCAGCUACGGCCCCGUGAAUACGUUCCCAGGCCUUGUACACACCGCCCGUCACAUCAUGAAAGCCGGUUGUACCCGAAGUCGCUGAGCUAACCCGCAAGGGAGGCAGGUGCCGAAGGUAUGGCUGGUGAUUGGGAUGAAGUCGUAAC
rnacentral:rRNA from 1 species